rnacentral:rRNA from 1 species
UACGUAGGGUGCAAGCGUUGUCCGGAAUUAUUGGGCGUAAAGAGCUCGUAGGCGGUCUGUCGCGUCGGCUGUGAAAUCCCGAGGCUCAACCUCGGGUCUGCAGUCGAUACGGGCAAACUAGAGUAUUGCAGGGGAGACUGGAAUUCCUGGUGUAGCGGUGAAAUGCGCAGAUAUCAGGAGGAACACCGGUGGCGAAGGCGGGUCUCUGGGCAAUAACUGACGCUGAGGAGCGAAAGCGUGGGUAGCAAACAGG